ACAGAAGAAGAGCUGAGUCGCUAACAACAUUAGCUAUUUUGCUGCUACUAAUAAUUUAGGAGAAAAUAAUUUGCUGUAAGCUGAAUAGGUGAGUGUUUGCAGUGAGAAUGUCUUCAGUGUGAGAGUUUAUCAGCGAGCAGUUAACUCCAGAUGAAGAAACAUUCACAGAGUUUGAAGAAGUGGAUGAAAAGAGCAGACUGCUGGAUUUCACCUGGACAUCCCAAAUCAUCGUACGACGAAUAGAUAUUUUGCAGCAUGACGUCAAAGAGGAAGAGACUCUUUAUGGCCAAGAGAGCAAAUCCGGUUUGGACCAGGGCCAACCAGAACCUCUGCAGAGAACAGAAGAGCGGGAGGAGUUGGAAAAUCAACAGCCUGAAUAUCAACAGGGCUGCAUUAUUAAUGGCGUUCCGGUGGUAGCGUUACCUGGGCGUGUGGUUGUUCGACGCCGCAGCUGCAUCCAGACACUCCUGAACUUUUCCUGCCAAGCAACUAGGCAUCUUUAUAGUAGAGAACCUCUGGGGUUCGCAGUGGAGCGGAGACGCACGUAGUGUAAAUCAGGAGAAUCAGGCAGCAGAAUUGCUUCCUUCCUCAACCUGGUUCUCAUCUUUUGGAAAAGCUUGAGAGACGAGUUGGUUCCGGUUUG